AGUGGAAUUGCUGGGUCGUAUGAUAGUUCUGUUGUUCGUUUUUUGAGAAACUGCCACACUCUUUUCCACAACGGCUGUACCAUUUUGCAUUCCCACCAGCAAU
rnacentral:pre_miRNA from 1 species